rnacentral:tRNA from 1 species
GCUGUGAUGGCCGAGUGGUUAAGGUGUUGGACUUGAUAUCAAAUAGGGUUUAUCUGUGCAGGUUCAAAUCUUGCUCACAGUA